rnacentral:rRNA from 1 species
CCUACGGGAGGCAGCAGUGAGGAAUAUUGGUCAAUGGACGAGAGUCUGAACCAGCCAAGUAGCGUGAAGGAUGACUGCCCUAUGGGUUGUAAACUUCUUUUAUAAAGGAAUAAAACGAGGCACGUGUGCCUUUUUGCAUGUACUUUAUGAAUAAGGAUCGGCUAACUCCGUGCCAGCAGCCGCGGUAAUACGGAGGAUCCGAGCGUUAUCCGGAUUUAUUGGGUUUAAAGGGAGCGUAGAUGGGUUGUUAAGUCAGUUGUGAAAGUUUGCGGCUCAACCGUAAAAUUGCAAUUGAUACUGGCAGUCUUGAGUACAGUUGAGGUAGGCGGAAUUCGUGGUGUAGCGGUGAAAUGCUUAGAUAUCACGAAGAACCCCGAUUGCGAAGGCGGAUGACUGGACGGCAACUGACGGUGAGGCGCGAAAGCGUGGGGAGCAAACAGGAUUAGAUACCCCAGUAGUC